rnacentral:rRNA from 1 species
GAUGAACGCUGGCGGCGUGCCUAAUACAUGCAAGUCGAGCGAACGGACGAGAAGCUUGCUUCUCUGAUGUUAGCGGCGGACGGGUGAGUAACACGUGGAUAACCUACCUAUAAGACUGGGAUAACUUCGGGAGACCGGAGCUAAUACCGGAUAAUAUUUUGAACCGCAUGGUUCAAAAGUGAAAGACGGUCUUGCUGUCACUUAUAGAUGGAUCCGCGCUGCAUUAGCUAGUUGGUAAGGUAACGGCUUACCAAGGCAACGAUGCAUAGCCGACCUGAGAGGGUGAUCGGCCACACUGGAACUGAGACACGGUCCAGACUCCUACGGGAGGCAGCAGUAGGGAAUCUUCCGCAAAGGGCGAAAGCCUGACGGAGCAACGCCGCGUGAGUGAUGAAGGUCUUCGGAUCGUAAAACUCUGUUAUUAGGGAAGAACAUAUGUGUAAGUAACUGUGCACAUCUUGACGGUACCUAAUCAGAAAGCCACGGCUAACUACGUG